rnacentral:tmRNA from 1 species
GGGGGCGACCUGGCUUCGACGUGGGUUGCGAAACCAUAGGGUGCAUGCCGAGGUGCAGUGACCUCGUAAAUAACGCUGCAACAACAUAGUUGCCAACGACGACAACUACGCUCUAGCGGCUUAAACCCCGCUAGCGCCCGACCGACGCGUGCUUGUGCGCUCGGGCUCCGGGUGUCAUUAAACGCAAGCUCGCGGCGAAGUUAGUCCGGGGCCUAGCCGCUAAAACCCAAAUCCGGAAUCGCCGUUGAUAUGCCCUGCCCGUCGGGCGAUUAACGGUUAAAAAUAAUAGGCGCGGCUAAGCAUGUAGAUCCCAUGGCGGAGUUCUCGCGGACGCGGGUUCGAUUCCCGCCGCCUCCACCA